rnacentral:rRNA from 1 species
GACGAACGCUGGCGGCGUGCUUAACACAUGCAAGUCGAACGGAAAGGCCUGCUUUCCCUUGUGGAUUGCGGGUACUCGAGUGGCGAACGGGUGAGUAACACGUGAGUGAUCUGCCCCCAACUUGGGUAUAAGCCUGGGAAACUGGGUCUAAUUCCCGAUAGGACUGCAGGGUGGUGCCUGUGGUGGAAAACGAUUUUCUAGUGGUUGGGGAUGAGCUCGCGGCCUAUCAGCUUGUUGGUGGGGUAAUGGCCUACCAAGGCGGCGACGGGUAGCCGGCCUGAGAGGGUGGACGGCCACAUUGGGACUGAGAUACGGCCCAGACUCCUACGGGAGGCAGCAGUGGGGAAUAUUGCACAAUGGGCGGAAGCCUGAUGCAGCGACGCCGCGUGGGGGAUGACGGCCUUCGGGUUGUAAACUCCUUUCGACCGCGAGGAAGCCACCUGGUUGGAAGGGUGGUGACGGUAGUGGUAGAAGAAGCACCGGCUGACUACGU